rnacentral:rRNA from 1 species
CAACAGCGUAUAUUAAAGUUGUUGCAGUUAAAACGCUCGUAGUCGGAUUUCGGGGCGGGCGGGCCGGUCUGCCGAUGGGUAUGCACUGGUCUGGCCGUCCUUCCUUCCGGAGACCGUGCGUGCUCUUAACUGAGUGCGCUCGGGAGACGGAUCGUUUACUUUGAAAAAAUCAGAGUGUUUCAAGCAGGCAGCUCGCUCUUGCAUGGAUUAGCAUGGGAUAAUGAAAUAGGACUUUGGUGCUAUUUUGUUGGUUUCGAACACCGAAGUAAUGAUUAACAGGGACAGUCAGGGGCACUCGUAUUCCGCCGAGAGAGGUGAAAUUCUCAGACCAGCGGAAGACGAACCACUGCGAAANCANNNGCCAGGGAUGUUUUCACNGA